CUAAUCUCGCUUAUCUCUCUCGUUCCUCUCUUUCUCCUCUAAUGUAUCUCAGAGAACUAACGGCCUAUUUUUCUCCCGACAAAAUUCGGUGUCACUUUCCACGGCUACCUCCGGCCGCCCCCCCUUUCAUUCUCGAUCACCGUCACGGUGGCUGAUUCUUCAACAGAUUUGGGGACCGCAAACUUGAAAAAGUACAUAAAAUCGAAACUUCCAGGUGGAUUCGCCGCUCAUCAGAUCACGGGAACCGGUCGUCGCAGUGCGCCAUCGCUCGGGUUGCGCUUCAGGAAGGUACGGAAGAGGUCAUCGUUAACUAUCUUGACGCCAAGGAAUUUGACGAGCACUUCGGGAUCAUCACACCAUCGCUUUCAACCUCUUCGAGUACUACACUGGAGGCAUUUUCCUAGCAAAACAACACCGCUUGGUAGCCAUGCAGCGUCACGGAGACAUCCAAAAUGGAAAUAAAGACCACAUUUAAGACAUCGAUAAUACGAAUUCCUCACUUCCUCUCUGCAAGAGGCACAUUUAAAAACCUUUCUGAGGAUGCCUUUAGGCUUGUUGUGAAGAUAAUAGAAUCGAUGGCUAUGACCUCCACGUCGACGAUCAAAGGGACGAGCCAAGGAGCUGCCGCACUCGAGAUGGUAAUAUAUUUGUCUUCUCGCGUUGAUGACUUUAUAGCCGUGGUGCGUAUAAUUCUCGCACGCAAAACAAACUUGCCAGGUGAUUGUACCGUCAAGCUGAAGAACAUGACGAGGAGCAGUAGGAUGUCCUUCGACCAAACGCGGCCACUCCAUACAAGUUUCAUGGUAACUAUAGGAUAUACAUUUUGUGCAACAGUACGAUGGACCUAAGAGUUUUUCGAAGCACACACGGCACUGUGCAUGAAUACCUGCAUUAAAAUUCGCGAGGGUUAGCUCGUGUUGUGGGUGCAGAGGGUGAUUCAGAGUCUUUCUUGCGUAUUUGUCGUAGAAAGUUUGUCUGAAUUUGUCGGCAUCGAGCACGCAUUUAACAUCGACAAAAAACUCGCAAGAGCGGCAGGAGAAAUGAAAUCCCUGAGAAACGUCUCCGCAAACGGCACAUAUAAACCAAUCUCUAUCGGCAGAUAUUCUGCAGCGGGAUUGCUGGUUGAACACUCGUCUAAGAAGAAUACGUUUGGCGAGAUCGAGCUCGUGGUUCGGGUGAAGAGGAUGGCCGUGUAAGGUCUGAGGCAGUGAUGCGCAUUUCUCAUGAACCCAGAACUCAUCAUCAUCAUGACAUUCCUCACAUGCAUAAGCUUGACCCUCCAUCUGAAGCAUGCACAUUCGACAAAGUUUAUUUGUUCCAUUUUGCAAGCUCAAAGGAUGGUCAUGAAUGGCCUUCUUAAUUAUCUGCAUAAUUCAACGAACGGCAUUUUAUUAUAUACAUACACAUAUACAUGAAUAUAAAAUAUUAUAUAAUAUGAUUGGAAGUCAAUUUUCUACCU